AUUUUUUUGGCCACUACUCUUCUACUUCAUUUUUACUUACUUAUUUUUUUGAUUAUUUUUCCCUCUCUUUUCUUUUUUUAUUUCUUUUUUUAUUCCCUUCCAUCAUUCCUUAAGUCCAUAUCUUUGAUCUUGUAGAAUCUGGACCAUUUUA